CACCUCCAGUUGCUACUACCGAUUGAAUGAUUUAGUGAGGUCGUUGGAAUGGUAUCGUUGUAGUGACUUUGCCGUUCAACUAAUGCUAAGUUGACCUAAUUUGAAUAUUUAGAGGAAGUAAAAGUCAUAACAAGGUUUCCGUAGGUGAACCUGCGGAAG
rfam:Schistosoma haematobium scaffold16_6, whole genome shotgun sequence.